rnacentral:rRNA from 1 species
UACGGAGGGGGCUAGCGUUGUUCGGAAUUACUGGGCGUAAAGCGCGCGUAGGCGGCUUUUCAAGUCGAUUGUGAAAUCCCCGGGCUUAACCUGGGAACUGCAGUCGAGACUGUCUAGCUAGAGUAUGGGAGAGGGAAGUGGAAUUUCAGGUGUAGCGGUGAAAUGCGUAGAUAUCUGAAGGAACAUCAGUGGCGAAAGCGACUUCCUGGACCAAUACUGACGCUCAUGUGCGAAAGCGUGGGGAGCAAACAGG